rnacentral:misc_RNA from 1 species
UGAAUGGUAUGCAAGAAUCGUGGUUCAAAUAUCAAGGUGAAGUAGACUUGAUCGAUACGAGUGACCAUUGUGAUAAACAGUGCAAUGAAACAUUUAGAACAAUAGCAGGACUUAAUUACAGUUUCUCGGAUUUAGAAUCAGAAGGAAGUGAUCACAUUGUUAGGAAUAAGAAUCGCACAAAUUUAAAUGCCAGAUCAAUGGGUUUCUAUAUUAUUUUUAUCAAACUACGCCAUACUGUGUAUGCAUUAACAAUGGGAAAAGGAAUUAUGAAUUAUACUCAACAUCUCAGUUUCUAAGGUGUUCUUUGAUUGGCUUUUAUUACCGUAGGCCAAGUGACAAUGUGAUAGAACAAAGAAAUCUCACGUGAUAAUGAUGACACACUUAUUUAGCCUUUAUUUAUUGAAUUAAUUUGAUGUACAGAUUUUUAUCACAGCCAUGUUAUGUCAUUGUAAAAAGAUGAUUGUAAAAAUAAAUAGAAUGUGUGAUAG